rnacentral:rRNA from 1 species
AUUGAACGCUGGCGGCAGGCCUAACACAUGCAAGUCGAGCGGAUGAAGAGAGCUUGCUCUCUGAUUUAGCGGCGGACGGGUGAGUAAUGCCUAGGAAUCUGCCUGGUAGUGGGGGAUAACGUUCCGAAAGGAACGCUAAUACCGCAUACGUCCUACGGGAGAAAGCAGGGGACCUUCGGGCCUUGCGCUAUCAGAUGAGCCUAGGUCGGAUUAGCUAGUUGGUGAGGUAAUGGCUCACCAAGGCUACGAUCCGUAACUGGUCUGAGAGGAUGAUAGGUCACACUGGAACUGAGACACGGUCCAGACUCCUACGGGAGGCAGCAGUGGGGAAUAUUGGACAAUGGCGAAAGCCUGAUCCAGCCAUGCCGCGUGUGUGAAGAAGGUCUUCGGAUUGUAAAGCACUUUAAGUUGGGAGGAAGGGCAGUAAGUUAAUACCUUGCUGUUUUGACGUUACCGACAGAAUAAGCACCGGCUAACUUCGUGCCAGCCGCCGCCGUAAUAC